rnacentral:rRNA from 1 species
CCUACGGGGGGCAGCAGUGGGGAAUAUUGGACAAUGGGCGCAAGCCUGAUCCAGCAAUGCCGCGUGGAUGAAGAAGGUCUUCGGAUUGUAAAGUCCUUUCGGCGGGGACGAUGAUGACGGUACCCGCAGAAGAAGCCCCGGCUAACUUCGUGCCAGCAGCCGCGGUAAUACGAAGGGGGCUAGCGUUGCUCGGAAUGACUGGGCGUAAAGGGCGCGUAGGCGGAUGGCUUAGUCAGGUGUGAAAUUCCUGGGCUUAACCUGGGGGCUGCAUUUGAGACGGGUUAUCUAGAGUUUGGAAGAGGGUCGUGGAAUUCCCAGUGUAGAGGUGAAAUUCGUAGAUAUUGGGAAGAACACCGGUGGCGAAGGCGGCUCUCUGGACUGUAACUGACGCUGAGGCACGAAAGCGUGGGGAGCGAACAGGAUUAGAUACCCUGGUAGUC